rnacentral:rRNA from 1 species
AUGGCAGGUCAGCAUACUGCCGUGAAUACGUUCCCGGGCCUUGUACACACCGCCCGUCACACCAUGAGAGUUGGGGAUACCCGAAGCCUGUGAGCCAACUUUUUAAGAGGCAGCAGUCGAAGGUAGAAUCAAUGAUUGGGGUGAAGUCGUAACAAGGUAGC